CCAGCCUCUUGGAUAAUGGUGUUGUCCCGAGUGAAUCUCCACCUCCCCAUCUCUCCCACUUCCUCAUUCGUCUCUUCUACAGUUGCCCUCUGUCUUCGAGCUCUUUGCUCUCCUACUUUUAAGGCUCACUGGGUUCUGGGAGAUGGAGGGUCUGGAAUACUUUCUAAUGACAAUGUUUCAGCCAGGUAUUGUUCAGGGUCUCCCAUGAUUUCCCAGCUUUCCCCCUCAUCUGCCUCUGAGCUGCUCAAACCCCUGUUGUAAAUCUAUACUGUCUUCCUCUCUCCCCCCCCCCCCCAGGAAGGGUCAGGAUGGGGAGGAAGUCUCCACCAUUCCUCCUCUGCCCAGUCCCUGACAAUUAGUUUUCUUUAAAAGUGGAAGCCGGUUUUCAGAUGAUACAAAGCUCUUCUUCAGGCUUUGAUUAUGAGAACAAAAAAUAAACAUCCAAUAGUCUAGAUAGAAACAAACGGGUAGUCAGGCUGAUGGUUACCUGGUUGCAGAAGUUUACUGGCCAUUGCUGUUGGCAUGGAGAUAGUCUAGGUUGAAUGCAAACAUGCCAUUCUGAUGUCAUGUGUGAUGUCACAAAGAGGGUAUGCUUUAAGUCUUGGCAAAGCCAGAAACAGUUAACAGUCAGACUGCAUCUCAGCACUGUCAAGAUGGAUCUCCAUAACAGGUGAUGAAUAGUUUUAUUUGGGGACUAUAUUAACUUUUACUAUUGGGGGAAAGUUUUAGAUUGGUCUGCCAGUUUGUAACCCAUCAAGUUGAGGCCAAUAGAUAUACAUUCACAACCCUGUACCCAUCAAAUAAUCAACUUUAUGUGUGACUUUGGGACUGAUUCAUACAACCACAUUACUUUCUCAACUCUAUAGCAGCUUUUUCUCUGUAUUUUAAAAAAAUAACCAAGAAGGAGAAGAUAAGGAACCAGGAAUAAGAUCUGGAUGAGUAUGGUGAGGAUCUAAGCUUUACAAGUGAGGGGGCUAGGAAGAUAGCUUUGUGGUCCAGCAUAGGAAUGAUGGGUGCUGCUUCAUAUUAUUGAAUUCCUGUACCACAAAGAAGAAGACUUUGAGCUCUUUGCUCUCCUACUUCUAAGGCCCACCAGGUUCUGGGAGAUGGAGUGCCUGGAAUCCUUUCUAAUGAUGACGUGUCAGCCAGCUGCUGCUCUGGCUCUGCCUGCUCCUCCUAUGCCAUGAUUUCCCAUCUUUUCCCCUCCCGCAAACCACUGUUGUAAAUCAUACUGUCUUCCUCCUGCUCCUCCCUGGAAGGGUCAGGAUUGCGAUCUCCUCUUCUGCUCAGUCCCUGACAUAAGGGUAUGCAAAGGAAGACAGUGGAGGAUUUAAACUCAUUCUGCUGGCUUCCCAAUGGAGAGCAGAAAUUUGGGAAGCAGAUGAUGAUGGAGCCAGCAGGAGCUAGAGAGAGGGUAGAGAGCCAAGUGGCUUAAAAGAUACAGAGGUUGCAGCAUUCCCCACCCUUACAGAACAGAACAGCCCUGAAGGAAGGUGCUGAAUGAUGCUUUCACAGUAAGCGGAAGUUUCCUAUUUGUCAUUGUUUUUGUUGCCUGUGUUUGUUUGUGGCCAUCUAAUCUUCAGCCAAAGAGAGCGAGUGCAUGCACCUCAAAUAAUACAAAUGGAGAGACCUGAGGCCCUACAGGAGCAUAAGCCGCUGUCAUUGAAGAUUGAAGUUGGAGCGGGCCAGGGGGAGUCUGGAGCUGAGGAGGUUCCUAACUUUGGAGAGACCUUGAAAUAUGCUUUUAAAUACUUUUUGGAUUACAUUGAUGACUGUGGGGAGUGGGACUGGGGAAUGGCCGGGUUUGAUGAAGGGAGAUGGAGACAAUUUUGGGUUGGAAUCCCCCAGAGACCUACUCCUCAAUGAGAAAGGAAAGAAAUUAAGAAAGAGACCAACAAAAGACAAGGAAAAGGGCAAGUAUAAACAAGAAGAAGAAGAUCUGCAGAAGGGACAUGGAAGAGACUUAAGGGCCUCGGACAUAAGACUUCCAGGUUGAUGGACUAGAUGGAAUGGACAGUAAGGACUGACACGACCCGAGACCAGGAAGAAGAGACGUUGGAUGAAAAUUGGAAGAAAAUUGAUAAAGAAUUUUUUUUAUUUAGGGAAUUAGCCUAAAAUCAAUGAAUAUUAGGGAAAAUGUUGGAAUGAAACUAUAUGACUCUAGCAGAAAUGAUAUCAGGAGUUAUAUAUAUUUGAGUAUUAAGAUUCAAGCUUUAAGGUAUUUUAUGGUAAGAUAAGGUUAAAUAAAUUAAGGUAAUUUGAAUAACAGAAUAUGGGGAAAGAUGGAAAGGAUUUGUUGAGCUAAUUAUUAGGUUAAAUUGUUAAGAUAAAUUAUUUAACAAAAAUUGAGAAAGAUGGAAAGAAUUUGCUGAAAUAACUAAUUAAACUAGAAUACAAAAAGGGAGGAGGUCAAUGAAACAAGCAAAUGGAAGUUAAAGAUAUGUAAUUUGGGAUUUGUGUCUUUUUUUCUUCCUUUUUUCUUUUUUAUCUUUUUGCUGUAUUGUUGUAUUGGUUUUUAUGUUUUGCGUUUUUUCUUCUUUUUAUGUAUUGUAGUGCUGUUUUUUAUUUUUUAUUUUCUUUCCAUAAUUCUGAAACUAUUAAUAAAUAUUAUUAUUUUUUUAAAAAAAGAAAUUUGCAAUUUUAUAUAUGGAUGCACAUUUAGAAAUAACUACCAUAAUUGAUACAGAAAUUCAAUAUAUCUCACCCCAGUAGGAAAGACUGUGACCAGGAGACAUGUAUGCCUGUCCUAGGUUGAUCUAAAAAUCAACGGGCAACUUCUUUCUUAUCAUUCUUCAUUUUAAACUCAACUUGAAUUUAUCCUAAAUUUGCAUCUGCUGUAAGUUUACACCAGUUUAUGCCAAAUUGCUUUGUGAUGGCUUCUUGUGUAUAGGAUUGCUCCCUUAGUGAAUGUGUGGUUGUUGUGAGACUUGAUCUCAGGAUUUCUGGGACCACAUGUUAUACUGUUUGCUGCUAUGUUCUCUCCUGCUAAAUUUGGGAUGGAAAGCAAACACGAUUACAUAUUAAACUUCUUUCUGGAAAUGGUAACAUAAAUUUUAUGUAAUCAAGCAAGAAGCAUUGAUAUUGGAAAGAAAUAAAAAAGGAUGAUAAAUUUUAGCUUCAAGAAAUGUUAUUAGUACAGUUAGUAAUGGAACAAUUAAAUUGUGUUGUAAAAAUGUGUUUAGAGGUAAAUGCUGAGCAAUCCUUAUCUACAUACAGAUGGAAUAAAAGGGAAUACUUCAUUGUCUUCUAAAGUCCUGGGAAAGUGAAAUGUACCAAUAAAACUAUAGAAUCCACCAUAGGGAUGUCCAAUAUCCUUGAAUAUGUGAAUUUUGAAAUUUCAGUACACCUGUGUUUAUUUCCUUUAACUGUUACUGCUUUUAAAAAUUAUAAGAUUUAAUCAGUUUUGUGAAUUGCAGUGCAAUCCUAACCGUAUAUAGUGCAACUGAAUUCAAUGGAUCUUAGGUAAGUUGGUUUAGGAUUCCAUCGUUAGUGGUGGCUGCAUCAGGAAAUAAAAUCUGGGAGUGCAUAAAAGGGGCAGCAUAUAUUUCUAGGUAUUCCAUUUGUUAAGAUCGCUGAAAGACAAAUAACAUAUGUCAGAUAGGAAUCCAGCAUGUGAGUUCCUUGUUUGCUGUGAGGGACUGGCAGGGCUCUGAUGAGUGAGUAGCAGGGGUGGGGAGCAAGGUCGAGGCUGACUCAAGGGAAGGGAUCAGUGAUUUAUUGGGUUUUGUGCCUCUUGCAAGGCAGGAGCCAUGGCUGGAGGAAGGGGAAGAGUCAAAGCAGUCGGAGAUGGGGGAGAAGGUACAGGACGCGCUAGGAGCAGAGGAAGACAAGCCAACUGAGAGGGGUGGGGUGGUAGAAUCCCCUCCAUCCCCUCCCCUGCUGUCUUUCAGGACCAGGAAGGGUUUGAAGGGGCAGAAACAGAGGCAACUUCUGCACAGGAGAAGUCACAGCUUGUUUGUGAAUGCCCUAUCAGGCAGGAGAACUUCAGUUUCAGUGGAGGCAUGGUCAUGCGGUUGCGUCAACAGUCCGGCUUGUAGGUGUGUGCUUUAUCAAUAACGAAAUCAACUACUUACUCCUUUGGGGGCUGAGGGUACUCUGGAGAGAUUGGAGCAACCCCAAAUCUCUUCCAGCCAAGGAUCCCUGGACGGUUAAGUCCAGUCAAAAGCAGCUAUGGGGUUGUGGCACUCAUCUCGCUUUUAGACCAAGGGAGUGUGGCGCUGUGGUCUAAACCACUGAGCCUCUUGAGCUUGCCAGUCAGAAGGUUGGUGGUUCAAAUCCCCACAAGGGGGUGAGCUCCCAUUGCUCUGUCCCAGCUUCUGCCAACCCAGCAGUUCAAAAGCAUGCCAGUGCAAGGAGAUAAAUAGGUAUUGCUGCGGCAGGAAGGUAAACAGUGUUUCCAUGUGCUCUGAUUUCCAUCACGGUGUUCCGUUGCAUCAGAAGUGUUUUAGUCAUGCUGGCCACAUGACCCGGAAACCUGCCUGCAGACCACCCAUGAGCCUUAAUUAACUAAAGUUUAGUUGAUAAUGAGUGGUAUCUUUUAUUUGUUAAAUGUGCCACGAUGCAAAUUUGUACUUAAUUUCAUUUAAUUGAUUUAAUCUGUGUGGUUGUUUUUUUUAAAAAAAUGAUUAAUCAAUUAAAAUACUUUGAAUGGUAGAUGGUUCUGACAAUCUUAAUUGUGUUUUUAAUGAGUUUGGUUUAAUCAAAGGCAAAUUUGUGAACCUCCAUUUCCAUAGUAACCAAAAUCCAUUCUACUUCCCUAAUCAACCACUGUUUAGAUACUGGAAGACCAGCUGAGCAAGAUGAAUAAUUUUAGUCCAGACUAAAAGGGUGAGAAUUUGGAGCACUGGGAUCUCUAUCUACAGAUCUUAUAACAUCGCCUUUCCCCUACCCUGUAGUGGAAUUCCUUUAUUAACUUUGCUAAUGACCAGUUUUUAAAUGUCUUUGAGAUAUUUUGCACUUUACCAAUGCACACAUAUUUAACCUACUUUCAGAACCAACAGUUGCUUGUCACUUUCUGAAAAGCAGAAAUGAGAACCUGCUUUCUACUUGAAAUGGAAAAGGCAAGCAUAGAAAAGAAUGAGAGAUUUAUAAAUCAGUUGUGAGGGUAGUAGCAGUAGUAGUAGUAGUAGUAAUAAUAAUAAUAAUAAUAAUAAUAAUAAUAAUAAUAAUAAUAAAUAAAUAAGUUAUACCCCCUCCCCAUCUGGCUGGGUUUUCCUAGCCACUCUGGGCGACUUCCAACAAAAUAUUAAAAUACAAUAAAACAUCAGACAUUUAAAACUUCCCUAAACAGGACUGCCUUCAAAUGUCUUCUAAAAGUCAGAUAGUUGUUUAUUUCCUUGACAUCUGGUGGGAGGGCAUUCCACAGGGCGGGCACCACAGCCGAGAAGGCCCUCUGCCUGGUUCCCUGUAACUUCACUUCUCACAGUGAGGGAACCACCAGAAGGCCCUCAGAGCUGAACGAUGGAGGUGAAGACAGAAAUGGAGAACUUGUGGCCCACCCAUGGUCAUCUCAAGAUGGUUUCUUGUCGGAAGUGUACUAUCAAAUGGUACCACCACCACCUCAAAGUCAAAGUGCAUGGUCCUCAGGGCUGAUUAAAUUAUGUUGGCACAUUUGGCAGAAAAAUUGCCCGAGCAAUUUGCUCCCAGGUAGUAAAAAUAAAAUUAAAUAAUUUAAAAAUAGCAACUUGCUACCUUUUCAUAACAGCUCAAAUAAGCUGCCAGAAGGAGUCACAUUACUCCUUAACAGUGUGACCAGAUAUAUGGCCUCCUGUUGUUUCUGCACUACAAUUUGUGUGUUUAAAGCAAAUGUGGAUAUUUUCACAUUGGCAGGGAGAAUGUGAAUCUCCCCUCCACCCCUGAAAUUUGUUCUGACAGGAUUUAUAAAGCAGCCCAUAACUGGGACGCUUGGGCUACGCCGUCUAACGUUUUGUGCUUCUGCAUGCAUCCAGGUUCACUUAAGCAGGUUGAUAUCUCGCUCUUUUGUUUCUGGGCAGCCCUGUUUGGGCUCUAAUUUUGUCAGCACUCAAUCAUUUUUCCACUGAUAUCUGUGGUCAGGUUACUAUUGGAGGCAGUGCUAAUUAGAAAGGAGACUUUUCUUCUCCCCAGGGCUGAUUAUCAGCCACAGAUAGGGGCAUGCUUGUGUUGGCAAAUAGAUCAGAUGCAAAAUUAGGUACCAGCAUAAAUUUGGAGCCUUUGCUCAACCCAGACACAGGACAUUCACCAGACACUAAAGAGAGAGGAAAGAUAAAGGAGGGAAAUCUGUUUGAGAAUGCCAGAGUCAAGAAGUGCAUUUUUCUUUUUCUACAUUUAAUCCUUAUUGAUUUUAAAUAUUGCAUCCAUUCACCACAAAAAGAAAAAAAGUAAACACAUUCAAUACAAAGAAAAUUUUACAUAUAGAAUAAAGUUCUUCCAUGCAUUAAGACUUCCAUCUGCCUCAGCAUGGAUCCUUCAUUUCCUUAUUAAAGGCAUAAUGUAUGACAUUUAACUUAUCGUAAAUUAUCUAUAAUCUUUAUAGCAUAUGGUAUUGCAGAAGUUAAUCAAAGCAUGUCAAAGAUUUCAUAUGGGAACAAUGUUCUUUUAAAUAUAAUCUGUAUAUAUCCCAUUCUUUCUUGAACUUUUGGUCUGUCUGGUUCCUAAUUUUUCCUGUCAUCUUUGCAUAAUCAAAUAAUUUCUCCUGCCAUUCCAAUUUAGUUGGUAUUUUAUCUCCUUUCCACCAUUUGGCUAUCAGCAUUUUCGCGGCAGUGGUUGCAUACAUAAAAACCCUCCUCAAUUCCUUCAGAAUGUCUGCAGCCAUAAUACCUAAAAGGAAGGCUUCUGGUUUUUUUGAUGAAAGUUAAUUUAAACUUUUUUUUUUUUAGCUCAUUAUAAAUCAUUUCCCAAAAGUUCUUUAUCUUUUUACAUUUCCACCACAUGUGGUACAUUGUCCCCUCAGAUUCUUUACAUCUCCAGAAAAGGUUUGAAUUAGUUUUUCUAAAGAUACUUAUAUCCAGUUUGGGGUCAGCUGAAUUGCCCCUUGAUGGCUUUCCUGUUGGUAUGGGGUUUUAGUCUUCCAGAAGUUGUUGGCCCUCUGGUCAGUGCCUGGGUCCAAGUUUGUCUUCCAUAUUUCUUCUGCUCCCACAGAGUUGCUGAACCUCUUAUCUCCCUAUGAGGGAAGGCGAAGCAAGCACGUUAUAUCUGGUGGUCCGCCUAGCUGGAGUAGGCUGGUCUUCUUUAUGCUGGUAGGAGUUAUGGAUACCACCUUCCAUGAUAUUUUGGGCCUCUGGCCAGUGAUCACAUAGUUGUCAUUAAUCUUCCAAGAGCAAAGCCUCUGGGUUAAGACAUUUUACUCAUACUUAAGGACUACGAUACUUUCUUGUAUUCAAUGGCAUGUAUUCUCUGCAUAUAAAACAAAUGGGUGAAAUGAAACAUGAAGAAGAAAUUGUCGCAUUGAUAAUGACAAUAAUAAUUCAGCCAAAAGAUUGCAUCUGGUAUCCUUCCACUAAGAUUUCCCAAGAAAAAUCUGAUUCAUUUGUGCAAAUUGAGUAGAAACAUAGAAGUCAGAAGAUGUGAAAACACUCAUUAUUUUCCAUAAAUAUUUAUGGGAUGUAAUAUUUAUGCAACAAAGACAUGGGGCAGUUUCAUCACUCUAUGGGAAAUAAUCUGAAAUUGAUUUUAUCCUCUUAAUGUAAUGCGCCAGUUUUCACGUUUAGUUGUUCUUGGGUGGAACUAACAAUUUGAAGGCAGCUUGAGAACUUGUAAUAAAAAAGGCAAGGCUUACUUAAGAUAAAUAUGGAUAUUAAUUCUGCCACAUCCAGAGUCUCAAUAAAUGCAUUUACUUUUUACAUGAUCUAAUUUUAUAAAACAUUUGGAGAGACUACAGAAGGAGAGAUGGCUCUAAGCAACAAAUGUGAUAUUUUUUUUUAUAACUGCUAUCAUGUAGCUAUGCCUCUCUCUAUAACUUCUUUUGGAAUGGGUUUCAUAUUAUUUUUUGCCAGCCGUUUGACUGAGCAGGAUUGAUGGUGUAAUCAAAAGGGAGACUGCCACAGAUGGAAGCCAGAAGCAAUUCUUCUUUUAAUCUGCUUUGUUUCUCAAAUGUAGACCUGGCUGGUAAGUAUCGAAGAUGCGCUAAGGGGAAGCUCUGUUUCUUUUAGAAUUAUGUUUGUACAAGACCGACAAUUUUAUUUUAAUAUACACAGCGCCUUGGGAAUUGGCAAAUGAGAGCGACGCAGGCAGGUUGCAAGAACCCGAUGGAGGAAGUCAGCUUAUUUUUAGAAUGUAAAAACAAAACAAAAAAAGAACCUAGGAUGACCAACUUUUCAUAUCAAAAUUUCGGAUACUUGGAUGGGGCUAUGAAUUUGCCAAGAAGUGCCUGUCACAGUAGAGCCGUUGGUAAGCUCUGCUGAGGCCGUCUGAUGUAAUGGCUGUCCCCAAAUUAGAGUUGAGGGGAGUGGAGGCCUCACAGAACCAACCUGUCAUGGCAGAGCCAAUGGAGUGAUAUAUUGAUGAUAUAAGGCACAUCAUGGGUGGCUUGACUAUUUUACUUGAGUUGCUUGCUCUGUAUAUAUGGCAUUUUCAUACUCUCCAGUGGAUGGCAUAGAUUCUAUUGAUCUGUAGUUGCUGAAUGUCAUGUGUGGAUGGGGGACUUGCAUGUAAGAGCAGUAGCAGCCUGGAUAGGAUGGGAUGGGAAAGGAGAAGCUUGUGUGAGAGAGAAAGAGAGGAGUCUAGGAUAUCUAAGGUGGUUGGAUGGUGUCUUGUAACACCUCCUUGCAACCCCUGCAGACAAGCUGGAAGCAAAUAUAUCACUCUGUUUUCUUUUGGACCACAUCAGCGAGGUCGUCAUCUGGGCAACCUAGGACUUCCAUAUACUCUGCCGAGGCUUGCGCCCCACGGAAGUCACUUCGGUGCUGCUAAUGUAGCAAAAACCAUGCAAGAGUUGUGAGUUACAGUCUCUGCAGCAACAGCAGGCACUUGUCAUGGGCCAGGAGUUGGCUUCACCUGCUGAGCAGCAGCCUGAAGGAGCAGAAGGCAAAGUGACUCCACCUACUACUGAUCAGCCGUCUUACUCCUGAUGAGAACCAGAUGACUUCAGCUUUCUUCAGCAGGGUUUCCAGCCUCAGUCAGUUGCUGGAAACAACAUUCGUAGUUCCUGGACAGACCCUGCUGCUUCUUGCUUCUUGCUUCUUGUGACCUUGGACCCUCAACUUUCUUGACCCCUGGAUCAUCUGACUACGUGAACUGAGAUACUGCUGACCUUAGGACUGGAUUGAACCUUGCAUAUGGACUCUGCCUCCAAGCAGGCUCCCCCCUGAAACUUGGCUGGUUGGCCAUUGCUGGGAGCACAGGACUAUGACAGUGCUGUGAUUCACCAAUGGUUUGACUUCUUUCCCAGAGGCACAGUCAAUUGUCUCUUGAGACAAAUGAAUGUCAACAACAGCUAUAAGUAGCAAUUCUUGCCAAUAUAUUAUGGGUAGAGAAAAGGGUUUAAUCCCUAUCCAUUGUCCUAAAUCCAGGAAAUUUUGUUUGUUUGUUUGUUUGUUUGUUUGUUUGUUUGUGUUUGUGUGUUGCCUGCAUUGAUCUCUGGAUUUAGAAUCCCUGGCGGAACAUUUUGUCCAUUUUUAUCACUGCCACAUUUAAGAACUCAAUGUGCUUGAUAAUAACUGCUGUCAAAUAAGAACUCUAAGGUCAGGUAUAUUUUCCCCUUUUUAAAGAAGCCAGGUGAACUGACAAAUUGACAACAUUCCCCACGAGUCACACAGACAGCAAUUUAACACCAAUAUAAGUUCUGUAUAACUCAGUGAAAUUGAAUUCCACAAUCAACAUUUUGUGAUGUUUUAAUUUUAAAAUUUGCAUGGAACACUGUUUUCUAGCACUCUACCCAUUCCUUAAAACCGUCAAAAGUUACCCUGCUGAUAGACACAUUUAUACUUAUUUCCUCCAAAUAUCCUUAAUAUCACUUUGUGGUAAUGAGCUUUUGUAUAAAGAGUGUACUUGAUUUACAUAAUGCAUGCUCUUCUGCUGUAUUCUAUUUCAUUUGCUCCAAAAUAAAAGUAAGUGACGCCUGAAAUUGCAAUUUUUGCUCUUUCAUCCACUACAGUUUAAACUGUAUAUUCUGUGUUUUUGAGGGAAAUAGAAAUAAAUAUAUUUCUAUAAAAGUUUGUAUGUGCAGGCACAUGUGUUUUUUCCAUUUCCAGAUAGAUCACAAUUACCUUAUAUUGCCUGCAAAGUCUUUUGGGCCCCCAAAUUGACCAAAAUCAACCAGACAUUCAUGCUUGUCUUUUUAUUGUUGCCAUCCAUCAACAGCCAAAUAUUAUCUAGGCUUGUUCUCAUUUGAAUAGAAUCUAAGUUACUCUCUGCUAUGAGUAUAUUUCUAAACUGUUUAGGGACUAUGUGAUUGUUCUCAUCGUUUCAGACAUAGCACAAUGUCUAUGUAUUUGACACUCCAAUUUCCCUUAUAUAGAUACAAAGUGAUUUACUUGUCAAAUUUACAUCAAAACCUAUGUACCUCAGCGAGAUCCAAAAUGAUUUUGCUAUUUCCUCUGCAUACAUUUGCCUCCUGUGAAGGCUUGCUGUCUUUUUUCUCUUUUGAGAGUCUGGAUUAGAAUACAAAGACUUGGCCAUUUCGACAGCUCUCGGAAAGGUUUCCUUGCAAAGGGAGAUGGAUUGCAGACUCAGACUGUAAAAAGGGGGGUUAAGUGUACUUAUUGGGGUUGCAAGAAAUGAGAUUAGUACAAUUAUUUAAUUCUGUAACUGAAUUUCGUUUCACCUUGGUUGUUCCAGGCCAGCAGCUGGGAUCAAUGUAAGUAUUGAUGCCCGUAGUUGUCUUUUCUUUAAACUAUUUUCCUCACAUUCUACAGGGGUAUCCCAUAGUCUAGAUGGCUUGGCUUCUCUUUUAUUUCAUAGCAACUGCUCCUGCUUUGUUGGGUCUGUAUAUCAGUAAUUCUCAAUGUUCCUCUUGAUACCAAACUUAAUCCCUCUAAAACAUUACAGCUGCCCCUAGUUUUCAGUUUCCCAACACAUUUCCCUGGUAGCAGCUAGUGAAACAAAGAAACAAUGUAGUGUCACCAUAAUUGCAAUCCACCCACUCCAAUUCAUUAGCUGCGGGGUGUGAAGAAAUUGACUGAAAUGCUGUCACAUCAGAACUAUAUCUUAUGAGCUAUUAACAGGGAAAUAUGUGGGUCUAAUGUAAGCAUGCAUCCUCUGUAGCUGCAGACCCUUAAUCUCCGCACACUCCAGCAAGGUCUCUGGAACAUUCCUGCACACUCACACAAACAAAUUAAAAGUCUCUCUUCAACCCCUUUCCCCUGCCCCACACCUGUGCAAUAAUCAGAUCUAAAAUAAGAACUUUUUUGGGGGGGGUGUCUUGACUUAAACCUAUUGACAAACCAUUUAUGGUGCAGAAUUCAGCGGCCAAGUUGCUCACCGGAGCAAGACGGUUUGAGCAUAUUACACCAAUCCUGGUACGACUGGACUGGCUACCAAUUAGUUUCCGGACCCAAUUCAAAGUGCUAGUUUUGACUAUAAAGCCUUAAAGGGCUCAGGACUGCAAUACCCCAAGGACCGUCUCUUUCCAUAUGAACUUACCCGGACCCUGAGAUCAUCUUCUGAGGCCCUCCUUUGUGUUCCCCCUCCUCGAGAGGUCCAGAGGGUGGUAACACGAGAAAGGGCCUUCUCUGCAGUGGCUCCCCGUCUGUAGAAUGCUCUCCGCAGGGACGUUCGCCUAGUGCCUUCAUCAUACACCUUUAGGCGCCAGGCAAAAACGUUCCUCUUUAACCAGGCCUUUAGUUGAUCUGAUUUGUAGCCUAUGUCCUUUUAAAAUUUAUUUGGGGGGGGCUAUUGGGUUGUUGUUUUUAUCUUUAUUAGGUAUUUUGUGGUUUUAUAUCUUGAUUUUAUUCUGUGAAUCAGCCUGAGACCCCCGGGUAUAGGGCGGUAUAUUAAUCCAAUAGUAAUAAUUUCUAGAACCCCCAAAAGUUUGAGCUAAAGAAUUCAUCUCCCAGGUUCAGGUUUGUCUGCCCAAAGUUCUGGACAUCUCUUCUGUGAUUAACUUCCCCAUGUCCUGUUACACAGAAUUCCUAUCCGGUUUUCAUUUGGCCCAGUAUUCAUGAAUCAAGCCCUCUUAGAGCUUUGCUAUGUUCUGACCUUGCUGCAAGCCUGCUUUAUUUCUCAGCAAAACUCUCUUCAAUUACUAAGUCAGACCUAAAAACGAUCUGUUUGCUACAGCCAUUCCUGGAGCUUCUGAAAUCUUUUCAACAAGUCAUUGGGCCCAGUAAUGGAAUACUUUUCAUGUUAACAGAGGGUGCUCCUUAUUUGUACGGCAUUUGAGACCCAUCAAAUGGAAUGCUUCUAAAUGGUAUCCAUUCGCUGCUGCAAUCCAGCAACCAGAUGAGCUCUUGUGUGUACUAAAAAGUUUGUUUUUUUUAUCGCAGGUGCAGUUUUUCAGCUUUAAAAUGGGAAAUGGGAGUCUAAAAUUCCAGACUGAGUGAUAAUAUUCUUUAUGCCAUUAUUCAUAAAAGAUUCCCCCUCUUACAUAAAAUUUCAGUGGCAUUUAAUUUGGCCAUGCAUUUCAAAUAGCAUAUAAACUAAUAGUGUAGAACAAAAAGAAUGUAAUGAGCUGGUGUUCAUUGAUGGGAUGCAUUUACGAUUGUAUGGAACUUACAAUUGCCACUAUCUUUUUUUUAUUUUUAAAGAAAAAGAUAAAAGAUAAAGAUUUAUUUAUUUGAAAGGAUUUUUGACAUCCCGCCCCCCUUAAAAUAUAGUGCAAUCCUGGACAUUUGUUUUGUCGUUUAGUCGUGUCUGACUCUUCCUGACCCCAUGGACCAGAGCACGCCAGGCACUCCUGUCUUCCACUGCCUCCUGCAGCUUGGUCAAACUCAUGUUGGUAGCUUCAAGAACACUGUCCAACCAUCUCGUCCUCUGUCAUCCCCUUCUCCUUGUGCCCUCAAUCUUUCCCAACAUCAGGGUCUUUUCCAGGGAGUCUUCUCUUCUUAUGAGGUGGCCAAAGUAUUGGAGCCUCAGCUUCAGGAUCUCUCCUUCCAGUGAGCACUCAGGGCUGAUUUCAGUCCUUCCAGGACUGAUCUCUCCUUCCAGUGAGCACUCAGGGCUGAUCCUGGACAUUAAGCCAGCUGAAUUCAAUCUGAAUUCCAGAUAAGGCAGUACCAUAUAUGGCAAUGGUUUUCAACCAGUGUGCUGUGGCAAUUCUUGCCAAUAUAUUAUGGGUGGAGAGAAGGGUUUAAUCCCUAUCCAUUUUCCUAAAUCCAGAGUGCCUUGAAUGGUAGCCAGGUGCCACAGGCAACACUGGCCUCUGUCCCUCUUUCCUUCCUUCCCUCCUCUGAUGCCCUCUCUCAUCUCUGCCUCCCAGUGGCUUGCACAGCUGUUUGUUUCAGCAGUCCUGGCUACAAGCUCUGCAGGCAAAUGGUGCCUCUGGGGAUGGUCACAGGGUACUGGUUGCCAGGAGCUGAGGAGGCCUCAAAGUAAGCAAGCAAGCGAGUGGGGGAGCCCAACCAGCCAGUUCGCCAGCUCUUGCUGUUGGGAAUGGAUGGACAAGUUCCAGGCCCCUGUGGGGCAGUGUGAAGAGGCACCUCUCUUUGUGGCAGAGGGGCAGCUCAGAAACCAGGGGUGACAGCAGCAGCUGGCCGAGAGGAUGCCCAAGAAGAAGGGAGAGGAGAGGAGGCUGAGGGAACGCUUCACAAGGGAGGGUGUUUGAAAAGGGAUGAGAGGUUCCCAGCUCUGCAAGCAAGGGGUGACAUAACUGGGCUUAUGAACUCUACAGGGGUUCCCCAAAAAGAAUGUAGUUGGUCAAGGGAGCUACGGACCCCACAAAAGGUUGAAAACCUCUGGGACAUGGAAUGCCUCUGCAUGAGAGCUGUGUUUGCUUCUCUUCCACAAGAUUCAUGACUGAGGGCUUAUACACACACCUGCCAAUUGCUUGGUUCUUUCCAGACACAAGUCCAUGCUUUAAAGCGGGAAUUGAACUCGUUCAUCCCACUGGCUGCACUGUUUCCUUUCAGAGUGUGACAUCACACUUAAGACUUAAUGACUACGUUCUUCAAAAUAAGCUUUAAAAAGGUAAAGGACCCCUAGGCGGUUAAAUCCAGUCAAAGGAGACUAUGGGGUGCAGCACUCAUCUCGCUUCAGGCCAAGGGAGCUGGUGUUUGUCCACAGACAGCUUUCCGGGUCAUGUGGCCAGCAUGACUAAAUUGCUUCUGGUGCAUGGAAGACUGUGAAAAGUGCCAGAGCACAUGGAAAUGACAUUUACCUUCCCGCCACAGUGGUACCUAUUUAUCUACUUGCACUGGAGUGCUUUCGAACUGCUAGGUUGGCAGGAGCUGGGACAGAGCAACGGGAGCUCACCCCAUCACAGGGAUUCAAACUGCCAACCUUCUGAUCGACAAGCCCAAGAGGCCCAGUGGUUUAGAUCACAGUGCCACCCGCUCCCUAAAAAAAAAAAAGCAAAAAAAAAAAAGAGCUAACAUUUAUUUAGCUCAUAUUAAUCUGUUUAAUCUAAAUUAAAUGCAUUGUUAAGUGUGUUUGGGACACGUCAUUUAGAGUGUUAACCUUUGAACAAAAGAGCUAACUAGUUUCACAUGGAAUGCAAAUGCCUACAGCUAAUUAUCAAGUGUAAUUGCAUAUGCUGGCGAAGCUGUGCUGAUCUUUUCCCUGAGAUAUCAUUUCCAGCAAACACACAGAUAGACAUCUAUUUGCUGGUAAUGAAUUUCUGGAUGUCGCACUUCCGUGGCUAAUGAACCAAGAUAAAGAUAAAAGGAGAAAAUGAGGACAGGAGGGCAGAAACCUUGCAGAGCAGGCUUGAUCCACAACUGAAAACAACCACUUUUUUGGGGGGGUGUGUGAUUUUUUUAAUUAUUAUUUUUUGCAAAUGUUAAUGUUGAGCACCUAAAUAAGAUGGUCUUUUGGCCAGACUAUGCCAAGCACACAAAUUACACGUGGGUGUGUUUUUUUGAGGGGGGGUUGUUAUUGGGUUGUUGUUUUUAUUUUGAUUAGGUAUUUUGUGCUUUUAUAUUUUGAUUUUAUUCUGUGAACCUCCCAGAGACCUGCAGGUAUAGGGCAGUAUAUGAAUUCAAUAAAUGAAUAAAUAAAGGUUUUAAAUACCACUGCUUUCUGUAGUGUGUGCAUUUGUGUGUUUAGUGUUUUAAAAGAAAAACCACAAGAACUGGAGGUUUAAUUUCUACAAACCAAGGAAAUUGGAAAGUCAGGUUGAUAGGGUUCCCAUAUUUCAAAAAGUCCGGACACAGAAGUUGUUGAACUUUUUUUUCCCUUUUGCAUAGUUAUUGAGCUUCUUCUGCAAAUUCUCAAAAAAAUUAAUAAUGAAAUUUUGGACCUAUUUUUAAUGGAAUUCACCAAAAUCUACACUUCCGACAUGGUUGUCGUACAUCCAGAUUUCCCCAUACAUUUCAGCAAGUUCCACCCAGAGUCUAUUUCCGAUGGCCAACUCCUGGCUAUGUCUGGGAAAUUCCAGAUGUAUAGCAACCCUAAAGGCUGAUGUCUUAGCGGACAUGCCCAACAAUUAGCAGGGAUGUUGUGCAGUGUCACAAAAUGUGCUUGCUUGCCACUUGCCCUUCAUGCACCCACAUUUUUCCUUGGUCUUUCAGGCUCAAAUCCAGAUGGAGAGGAGGGAGUGCCAAGAAUGCCUCAGAUUGUUAAAUAGAGGAUACUUCAACUGUCUGGUGCUUGCUCCUGGAGGAGAAAUCCCAUUUGGCAUAAACUAAAGGUAAAGGUAAAGGGACCCCUGACCAUUAGGUCCAGUCGUGACUGACUCUGGGGUUGUGGUGCUCAUCUCGCUUUAUUGGCUGAGGGAGCUGGCGUACAGCUUCCAGGUCAUGUGGCCAGCAUGACUAAGCCGCUUCUGGUGAACCAGAGCAGCACACAGAAAGCUGUUUACCUUCCCGCCAGAGUGGUACCUAUUUAUCUACUUGCACUUUGAUGUGCUUUUGAACUGCUAGGUUGGCAGGAGCAGGGACCAAGCAACGGGAGCUCACCCCGUCAUGAGGAUUCAAACCACCAACCUUCUGAUUGGCAAGUCCUAGGCUCUGUGGUUUAAUCCACAGCGCCACCCGCAUCCCUAUAAACUGCAGAGACAUGUUCAAAUGAAGCAGAGGUUAAUCACAUACCCUGCAAGUGUCUCUAUUUUCCAGGCACAACCCUGGAAUUAUGAAAGCUAUCCCAACUUCUGAUUUAAUCCCAGGAAAUCCCUAUUUCCUCUGCCGGUGUCACUGCUGCUGAGCUCAGGGAGGAGGAUGAACUGUUGGUGGUGCCAGCAGUGAUCAUUGACACAAUAGCUCCUGAACAUCUUCAGAUGCAGAAGUGAGUAAAAGUGCUCAGUAUUAGUUCUUAGUUAAAAAGGUAAAGGACUCCUGGACGGUUAAGUCCAGUCAAAGGUGACUAUGGGGUUGUUGCGCUCAUCUCACUUUCAGGCUGAGGGAGCCGGUGUUUGUCCACAGACAGCUUUCCGGGUCAUGUGGCCAGCAUGACUAAGCCACCUCUGGCUCAAUGGAACACCAUGACGGAAAACAGAGUGCACAGAAACACCAUUUACCUUCCCGCUGCAGUGGUACCUAUUUAUCUACUUGCACUGGCAUGCUUUUGAACUGCUAGUUUGCCAGAAUCUGGGACAGAGCAAUGGGAGCUCACUCCAUCACAGGGAUUCAAACUGCCUUCCGGUCAACAAGCCCAAGAGGCUCAGUCGUUUAGACCACAGCGUGACCCGUGUCCCAUUAUGUUCUAUGGGUAGCAGUAAGUAUAAUGCUUCUAGAUUGGCUAGACCUAGUAUAUAAAAAAAACAAAAAACAGGAUCCUGACCUUCUGCCCUUGACUGGGAUCUCAGUUGUGGCUAUUCCAUAUCCCUUUGCAAAACUAAAGCAACCCUUCCCACAGAGAGUUAAACAGCACUUUUAUUCAAGUAUUCUGCAACAAUAUAUUGUGAAAUAUUGCUACCGAUACAGCUGCCUGUGAUAAUUUCUUCUUUGUAGACAGAGGAAGCAAUCCUGCUUUCCUGUAAAACUGCCAAGGAGGGAGAUCUAUUUGAUACAGGGAAAAGCGUUAAAAGCAGAUUCUCUAAAUUAAAGAAAUGGCAUAUCUGAAGCGGAAAGUGUGAGAUGUGGAGAAAUGUGGGCAAUCUUUUAUAAUGGCAUCCAUAGUCCUGGCAUUCUCUAAGUUCAGCUCUUACAUUCAUUGUUCUAAGGUCAGUUUUAUUGCUGUUGCUAAAAGGUAGGAAACACCUCUGGAGCAGCAAUUGUUAAUGGUCAGUGACUCUUGCUUUUCUUGAUCAUACGUCAAGGUCUUUUUGUUCCGGUCCAAUACAUUUUCCAGCCAAGUGAGGAAGAAAUAUAAUGGCAUAGUCCUCUGCCAGAGCAUGUCUUCCACACUUUACUUCAAUAUGUGCUCCUUCAAUAAUCCUUGGGAAGAUCGCAAGCGCUGCGGAGCCCACCACUUAAUGUCCAUGAUUCAGGGCAAUUGCUCAAGCUUUUAACCAUAUGCUGUCUCUCUGUCUCAAAAUUGAUAAGCAUGGCAUGGGGAGCAGUAGUGAGCUUUAACCCUUCUUUCCCAGAAACAUGAACACUACUUGCUCCAUUAUCAGCCUUGUAGAGCUAAGGAGAUCUCAGUUGUCAAGAGAUUUCAAAUGCUGCAUUUGCUUAGAACUGUGGUGUGACUUCUUGUUAUCUUCCAAGUGUGUGUAUAACAUUAUUUUGCUGACUGAUAUAGCAGACAUUCUGACUGCAAUUCCCCUAUCCGUCCAAGCUGUCACAAGGAGGAGAAAUAAAGACUCACUUCCACAUAUAUUUCCUUUGAAAGAUAACAUGAAGAGUAGAAGUGUCCCCUGUGAAUUGCAUUACUCUCGCCACAACCCCCACCCCCGGCUAUUCUACUUGUUGCCAGUCACACACAACUGUGUUUUGUGUGAUACAGGGAACCAUCAGUGGUGCUAUUUCUGUCAACCUGUUGAUGAUAUUGUGAGUGCAGCAUUGCCUAGAAGGCUCACUGGUUUGUAAUUGAGCCAUUGAAAACCAACAAAGAAACUUCAGACAUUGAUUAACUUAAUUAAUCAAUUUGACAAUAUUGAUUAGAAAUUGCUGCUCAAACUUUUCAGGAACCAUAUGCUGUUCUUAUUUUGAUGCCAUUUCAAUUGUUCUGAUUUUGUGUUUGUGUUCAUACUUUAUGAUUGGAAUAUUUCUUCUUCCGCAUACUGCGUAGGGAACUUAAUCUUUGUUAUUGCUGUUAAUAAGUAAAUAAAUUCACAACUGUAUGAGAUUUGUACUUGAGAGACAGCAUACAAGACUCAGGAAGAAAUGAGCAAACUUUGUGAAGAAGAAGAAGAAGAAGAAGAAGAAGAAGAAGAAGAAGAAGAAGAAGCUGCUGCUGCUAAUAAACUUUAAUCUAAUAAUCUAACAAACUUUUCUAUGUCUUUGUAGAUUUGAGACAAACACUUUGACUCAUGAUAGAAGAAUUUAUAUUUGGCCAUACAAAUGAAAUGUUCAGUUUCACAACAGGGGAAAGAAAGGAACCAGUAGAUUUGUGCCAUCAUACCCACAUAGAAUAGGACACUUAACUGGAAAGCUUCAUAUUAUGAUUGUUCAUUCACUAGGUAAUGUAAUUGAAUUGACUGCCUGUUGUGCUUCAUAAAUAUACUGUAACUCAGCUUUAAGCCAAAGUAGCCCAUCUCCUCUCUCUACAAAAGCUGGUGUGUCAGCCUUAAGGAUCAGAUAGGAUUAAGGCUAAGGACAAAAUAGAGCAUAUUGCAUUUAUUUAAUUGGACACCUUCCAAAUUUAUCGUGUGAAAUCUUGUUUGACCUCCCCACCUCUGGUCAAGAAGGACACUUGCAUCGGUCUUUUGUGUAUGCAGAUCUACACAGGCCCAAUUCACCAGUAUGUGCAUAUCUUUCAAUGACCUGUGUAAACUUGGCUCCAUUGAAAGAAAGGGAAAAAACCCAUCAGAAUGUAAGAAAGCUCAGCACCUAAUAUCUGAAAUUUCCCAGGUGACAUUUUUCUGAGACAAUGUCAGAAAUUAUUCUUUUUUUUUCAUGCACCGUUAAAAAAUAAGGCCACAUUGCAUAAUUUGCUCCAAAUAUGGUUUUUUUGUUUGUUUUGUUUUUAUGUAGCAGCUGCCAUUCUGAACAUGUUACCCCCCCCCCAUUCCUCAGAAUGAAGCUAGGUUUAGGUAAAAGGUAAAGUUAAAAGACCCCUGGAUGGUUAAGUACAGCUGAAUUCGACCAUGGGGUACGGUGCUCAUCUCACUUCAGGCCAAGAGAGCCGGCGUUUGUCUGCAGACAGCUUUCUGGGUCAUGUGGCCAGCAUGGCUAAACCACUUCAUGGAAGCCAGAGCACAAGGAAACACCAUUUACCUUCCUGCCACAGUGCUACCUAUUUAUCUAUUUGUGCUGGUGUGCUUUCCAACUGCUAGGUUGGCAAGAGCUGGAACAGAGCAACCGGGAGCUCACUCCGUCACGGGGAUUCUAACCGCCGACCUUCUGAUCAGCAAGCCCAAGAGGCUCAGUGGUUUAGACCACAGCGCCACCCCUUUCUGUUCUGUUUUGUUCUGAUGUGUUUUGUGGCAGACCUUUCCUAGAUCUAGGACAAUGCAAAAUGGUGGUGAGGCAGGGAAACACAGUUGUUGCAGUUAUCACUUGCAUGGCAGGAACAUAAAACAGAAGACCUUGCAGUGGGGAGAGAAUCUAUUGUACCGCCUCUGCUAACUGUGAAUCCCAGCUAACUGUGAACUGUCAGGAAAUUUCUCUUCCUCCUGGAGAAUUCUAGCUGCCCUCACACCAAUGCCUUGAACUACAAAUAGGAUGGAUAUGUUUAAAAGGUCAUGUGUAUGUAGCUCUAAAAUACAACUCUCAUACUUGCACAUCACUUAGAUGCAUGCAUAAACUCACCCUUACACUAGAAAGAAAACAUGUGCAGCUAUGGGGGGGGGGGAAUUAUAAAAGGGACACAGGUGUCGCUGUGGGUUAAACCACAGAGCCUGGGGCUUGCCGAUCAGAAGGUCGGCGGUUUGAAUCCCUGUGACGGGGUGAGCUCCCAUUGUUCAGUCCUUGCUCCUGCCAACCUAGCAGUUCGAAAGCACGUCAAAGUGGAAGUAGAUAAAUAGGUACCGCUCCGGCGGGAAGGUAAACGGCGUUUCCAUGUGCUGCUCUGGUUUGCCAGAAGAAGCUUAGUCAUGCUGGCCACAUGACCUGUACGCCGGCUCCCUCGGCCAGUAAAGCGAGAUGAGCACUGCAACCACAGAGUCGUCCGUGACUGGACCUAAUGGUCAAGGGUCCCUUUACCUUUACCUUUAUGGAAAAAAUAGAGGCAUUCACCUAUUCAAGUUUGAUACUUAAAAUAUGCUAAAUUUAGGUCCAUGGUUCUGAACCCCCCCCCCCAAAAAAUGGUUGAGGACCUUAGCAGACCACUUAAAUUAUUUUUCUGCCUGCUGUAAUAAUUGUACUGUGCUGUGCUAGAUACUGUAAUAUUGGCAUUUGAAAUUUUUAUAUCUUCUUUUAUUUUGCAUAUAUUGCAUUUUAUUUUAUUGUAAUACAGUAAAAUACAAUAUAAAAAAGAAACAAUAAGAAUGCAAUUAAAAAUCGAUAUAACUAUUUAAUGCCUCUCCUGUCUUCAACCCCAAACACAUAGACGUACCAGCGGACCACCUGAAUGAAACUGAUGGAUGGCUUGUGGUCCAUGAACCACAGUUGUAUAGUUUUAACAGAUUUUUACUUUUUAUAUUGUAUCCAUAGCUGUCAACCUUCCCUUUUUUUUGUGGGAAAUUCCCUUAUUCCAGCGCCAUUUCCCGCUGCUUCCCGCUGCUAUCCCGGAUUGUUGGAUAUACCGUAGACUGACCCCAGGAUAGGUGAGGCUGCUGAUCCCUUAUUUUCAAAUCUGAAAGUUGACAGCUAUGGUUGUAUGCUUGUGAACCGUUUGUAGAUUAUUGCAUUUAAGAGAUAAAUGAAUUGG
rnacentral:lncRNA from 1 species